ACACCAAUGGUGAAGCGGUUAUCAUGCUUGCCUUCCAUAUAAAGUUCCAUUGUGUGUUAGCAAGCGGCAGGGGUUCGACUCCCCUUUGGUGUA